CGGGAGGCCCCCCAGGGGGAAUUUUNGGAACANGGGGGNCAAAGCCUUUUCCCAACCANNCCCGGGGUUUUUAAAAAAAGCCCUUCGGGGUUNNNAAANGGAANUUUNNNCAAGGNAAAAAAAAANGGGGGGGGGGGNUUUAAANACCCCCNUNUUUUUUAAANNNNCGGGGNACCCNUNAAAAAAAAANAAAGGCCNCCCGGGGCUUAAAANNAAAGGGNGNCCCAAANCAAANCCCCGGGGGNUUAAANNAACUUUAAGGGNUUNCCAAANCCCUUUUAAAAUCNGGAAAUUUAUUGGGGGGGUAAAAAGCGGGGNCCCAANACGGGUUNANUUNAAGCCAGGAAUGUUGAAAUCCCCGGGGGCUCCAACCUGGGAAAUGGGUUUUUGAACUGGGUGAUUAGAGUGUGUCAGAGGNAGGUAGAAUUCCCACGUGUACCAGUGAAAUGCGUAGAGAUGUGNAGGAAUACCGAUGGCGAAGGCAGCNUCNUGGGAUAACACUGACGUUCAUGCCCGAAAGCGUGGGUAGCAAACAGGAUUAGAUACCNUGGUAGUCCACGCCCUAAACGAUGUCGAUUAGCUGUUGGGCAGCAUGACUGCUUAGUAGCGAAGCUAACGCGUGAAAUCGACCGCCUGGGGAGUACGGUCGCAAGAUUAAAACUCAAAGGAAUUGACGGGGACCCGCACAAGCGGUGGAUGAUGUGGAUUAAUUCGAUGCAACGCGAAGAACCUUACCUGGUCUUGACAUGUACGGAACCCUCCAGAGACGGAGGGGUGCCUUCGGGAGCCGUAACACAGGUGCUGCAUGGCUGUCGUCAGCUCGUGUCGUGAGAUGUUGGGUUAAGUCCCGCAACGAGCGCAACCCUUGUCAUUAGUUGCCAUCAUUUAGUUGGGCACUCUAAUGAGACUGCCGGUGACAAGCCGGAGGAAGGUGGGGAUGACGUCAAGUCCUCAUGGCCCUUAUGACCAGGGCUUCACACGUCAUACAAUGGUCGGUACAGAGGGUAGCCAAGCCGCGAGGUGGAGCCAAUCUCACAAAACCGAUCGUAGUCCGGAUUGCACUCUGCAACUCGAGUGCAUGAAGUCGGAAUCGCUAGUAAUCGCAGGUCAGCAUACUGCGGUGAAUACGUUCCCGGGUCUUGUACACAUCGCCCGUCACACCAUGGGAGUGGGGGAUACCAGAAGUAGGUAGGAUAACCGCAAGGGGUCCGCUUACCACGGUAUGCUUCAUGACUGGGGUGAAGUCGUAACAAGGUAGCCGUAGGGGAACCUGCGGCUGGAUCACCUCC
rnacentral:rRNA from 1 species